rnacentral:rRNA from 1 species
AACGAACGCUGGCGGCAGGCUUAACACAUGCAAGUCGAACGCCCCGCAAGGGGAGUGGCAGACGGGUGAGUAACGCGUGGGAAUCUACCGAGCCCUGCGGGAUAGCUCCGGGAAACUGGAAUUAAUACCGCAUGCGCCCUACGGGGGAAAGAUUUAUCGGGGUUUGAUGAGCCCGCGUUGGAUUAGCUAGUUGGUGGGGUAAAGGCCUACCAAGGCGACGAUCCAUAGCUGGUCUGAGAGGAUGAUCAGCCACAUUGGGACUGAGACACGGCCCAAACUCCUACGGGAGGCAGCAGUGGGGAAUAUUGGACAAUGGGCGCAAGCCUGAUCCAGCCAUGCCGCGUGAGUGAUGAAGGCCUUAGGGUUGUAAAGCUCUUUCACCGGAGAAGAUAAUGACGGUAUCCGGAGAAGAAGCCCCGGCUAACUUCGUGCCAGCAGCCGCGGUAAUAC